rnacentral:rRNA from 1 species
UACGGAGGGAGCUAGCGUUGUUCGGAAUUACUGGGCGUAAAGCGCGCGUAGGCGGACCUGCAAGUCGGGGGUGAAAGCCCGAGGCUUAACCUCGGAACUGCCCUCGAUACUGCGGGUCUCGAGUCCGGGAGAGGUGAGUGGAAUUCCUAGUGUAGAGGUGAAAUUCGUAGAUAUUAGGAAGAACACCAGUGGCGAAGGCGGCUCACUGGCCCGGUACUGACGCUGAGGCGCGAAAGCGUGGGGAGCAAACAGG